CAGUAGCCACGGGAAUACGGAGGGUGCAAGCGUUAAUCGGAAUUACUGGGCGUAAAGCGCACGCAGGCGGUCUGACAAGUCAGAUGUGAAAUCCCCGGGCUUAACCUGGGAACUGCAUUUGAAACUGUCAGGCUGGAGUCUUGUAGAGGGGGGUAGAAUUCCAGGUGUAGCGGUGAAAUGCGUAGAGAUCUGGAAGAAUACCGGUGGCGAAGGCGGCCCCCUGGACAAAGACUGACGCUCAGGUGCGAAAGCGUGGGGAGCAAACAGGAUUAGAUACCCCAGUAGUCCCUGUCUCUUAUAU
rnacentral:rRNA from 1 species